GCCCUUGCGGAUCCGCGGCCGCUGAGAGUUGAUCCUGGCUCAGGAUAAACGCUGGCGGCGUGCCUAACCCAUGCAAGUCGAACGGUCCCGCAAGGGAUAGUGGCGGACGGGUGAGUAACACGUAGAAAUCUGCCUCGCCGGAGGGAAUAACUCCUCGAAAGAGGAGCUAAUACCCAAAAGGAUCCGCAAGGAUCAGAGUCCGCAAGGGCCUGGCGAGAGGAGUCUGCGGCCCAUCAGCUCGUUGGUGGGGUAAUGGCCUACCAAGGCUACGACGGGUAGGGGGUCUGAGAGGAUGUCCCCCCACACUGGAACUGAAACACGGUCCAGACACCUACGGGUGGCAGCAGGGAGGAAUAUUGGACAAUGGGGGAAACCCUGACCCAGCAACGCCGCGUGAGGGAUGAAGGCCUUCGGGCUGUAAACCUCUUUUCAGGGAGAAGAGAAAGGACGGUAUCCCUGGAAUAAGUCACGGCUAACUACGUGCCAGCAGCCGCGGUAAUACGUAGGUGGCGAGCGUUAUCCGGAUUUACUGGGCGUAAAGCGCUUGUAGGCGGCCUUGUAAGUUGGGCGUGAAAGCUCCGGGCUUAACCCGGAGAGGCCGUCCAAUACUGCGAGGCUAGAGGGUGCCAGAGGAAGGUGGAAUUCCUGGUGUAGCGGUGAAAUGCGUAGAUAUCAGGAGGAACACCCGUGGCGAAGGCGGCCUUCUGGGGCAUUCCUGACGCUGAGAAGCGAAAGCUAGGGGAGCAAACAGGAUUAGAUACCCUGGUAGUCCUAGCCGUAAACGAUGGAUGCUAGGUGUUGGCGGACAAAAACCCGUCAGUGCCGAAGCUAACGCGUUAAGCAUCCCGCCUGGGAAGUACGGCCGCAAGGCUAAAACUCAACGGAAUUGANGGGACCCGCACAAGCAGCGGAGCGUGU
rnacentral:rRNA from 1 species